UGAACUGUCAUUCCGGACUCGACUGGUACCGCAAACAGAUCAUUGGUUCUGCUCUUAUUUAUUGCCAUCUAGUCCUGUUUGCAGAAUGAACUGUGGCUCCAGCCAUUAAGCAGACCUGAACCAGUUGAUGAAGGUCUUCAGGAUCACCAGAAACUACAGGCAGGUGUGUGAGAAAGUUGGAGCUACAUACUGCAGGACGUUGGUCCUCCAUGACCAGGACUGGACACCACUGUUGUCUAAGCCAGCCACAGUGGAUACAGUGAAGCCACAAACACAGUUCAUAGUUCUUGUAUUUCUAUUACAUAUUAAGUAAUAAAAAAGAUCAUGUUAAUAAUAUUUGUCAGAUGUUUAUUUCCAGCUGGGUUUAGUAAAAAAGAUGGUCUUGAUCCAAGUAUAAUUUUGAUUUCAGUUGCAUGUUCUUAAUUCUUUGCAAAACACAACCUGAACAGUUAGCUAUUGAAAAGUUGGUGUGCAGUUUAUAUCAAUUAAAAUUAUAUAUUCUUGAG